CCUACGGGAGGCAGCAGUGAGGAAUAUUGGUCAAUGGACGAGAGUCUGAACCAGCCAAGUAGCGUGAAGGAUGACUGCCCUAUGGGUUGUAAACUUCUUUUAUAUGGGAAUAAAAUGUUCCACGUGUGGGAGUUUGUAUGUACCAUAUGAAUAAGGAUCGGCUAACUCCGUGCCAGCAGCCGCGGUAAUACGGAGGAUCCGAGCGUUAUCCGGAUUUAUUGGGUUUAAAGGGUGCGUAGGUGGUCUGAUAAGUCAGUUGUGAAAGUUUGCGGCUCAACUGUAGAAUUGCAGUUGAUACUGGCCGUCUUGAGUACAGUAGAGGUAGGCGGAAUGCGUGGUGUAGCGGUGAAAUGCUUAGAUAUCACGAAGAACUCCGAUUGCGAAGGCAGCUCACUGGACUGCAACUGACACUGAGGCUCGAAAGUGUGGGUAUCAAACAGGAUUAGAUACCCGAGUAGUC
rnacentral:rRNA from 1 species